UGGCUCAGUGGUUAGAGUGUUGGCCUGAGAACUGAAGGGUCAUGGGUUCGAUUCCCAU
rfam:Myotis davidii contig211334, whole genome shotgun sequence.